rnacentral:lncRNA from 1 species
CGCAUACUCAGGUGCACAAUAUCCAUGAGUGCCCAUAACCCGAGUUGAAACAUGCGUAUUAUCUGCACCUGGUCCAAACUUUGCAAGACCAAAGUCAGAGAGUUUAGAGUGGAAACCCUCGCUUAAUAAUAUGUUUGCUGACUUAAGGUCCCUGUAGAUAACAGGACGAUCAGCUUGGCUGUGAAGGUGGAAACCCUCGCCUAAUAAUAUGUUUGCUGACUUAAGGUCCCUGUAGAUAACAGGACGAUCAGGUUGACUGUGAAGGUAAUCCAGCCCUUUGGCGGCGCCAGAUGCUAUUAUCAUCCUG